rnacentral:lncRNA from 1 species
UUUAGAGUAUUGCGAUCAUUUUUCAUUGUGAUCAUUCUAAAGUAUCACUGUUGUAAUUUCUUAAACAUUAUUAUGCUUUGGUCAGCUAGUCUGGACUCCUCAAUCAUUCAAUUGAGUUCUCCUUUUUGGUGAGUGCUCCUGAGUAUUUUUUUUUUGUUUAAGCUCUUUUUCAACUUAUUAGUGAUUUUUUUUCUCUUUCAGGUGCACUCACUUUUAGUACUACUACACAACUACCCCAAACUUAAAGGUUUCUAUACCAACAACAAC